AUUGAACGCUGGCGGCAUGCCUAACACAUGCAAGUCGAACGGUAGCAUGAUCUGGCUUGCCAGAUUGAUGACGAGUGGCGUACGGGUGAGUAACGCGUAGGAAUAUGCCUUAAAGAGGGGGACAACUUGGGGAAACUCAAGCUAAUACCGCAUGAACUCUUAGGAGUAAAGCUGGGGACUUUCGAGCCUGGCGCUUUAAGAAUAGCCUGCGUCCGAUUAGCUAGUUGGUAGGGUAAAGGCCUACCAAGGCGACGAUCGGUAGCUGGUCUGAGAGGAUGAUCAGCCACACUGGAACUGAGACACGGUCCAGACUCCUACGGGAGGCAG
rnacentral:rRNA from 1 species